rnacentral:lncRNA from 1 species
ACUGCACUCCAUCCUGGGCAACAAGCGAGAUUCCAUCUCAAAAGAAAAAAAAAAAAGAAUUUUCUGUUUAUAUUACAUAUAGUCUCACUUCAUAUUUCAUUUCUCUCACCUCUGAUACCUGGAGUCCUUUGCUAGUACUGAAAUUGAGUAAAGUCAUUCUCAUGAGUUUUAGUAAACUCAAAACUCAAAACUCAUGAAGUUGGCAAAACUCAAAGAAUGCUUUGGUCUAGUUUGACAUUGGCCAGUAUGUUUUUCAUAUCCAGUCAUUCCUUUUUUCCUGGCUGACAUCCUCACUUCCUGCCUGUGGAGGAAAAGUUAAAUAUUAAAUUUGAACUCAAUUGAAUGUGGACACAAACAAUGGUCACCAAGUCCGGGAACAGGUUGUGUGAGUCCCUUGAGGCAUUUAUCCUGCCCUGUUUCGGAGAAAUCUCUAUUUCAAACUAUUCCUAUGUGUUACUUACUGAAAAACAACAGACAAUCGCAAAAACAAGUUGACCUUUUUGUGUUCCUUGAGCCCAGUCACAAAGGGCCCUCAUGACUGGGCCUCAUGCCAAACAACUUGUUACAAAAAGAGCUAGGGUCCCAGACCGCACCAAAGACCCAUGAGACCUCUCCUCGUCUGUGCACAGACUGGUGGCCGACUCUGGAGCCCAGGCUGUUGCUUCCUGGUCUGGUGAUGAAUCCUCCAUAGUCUGGGGUCUCACUUUGUUGCCCAGGCUGGCCUAUUCCAGGAUUUGACUUUGCAGUUGAUUCCCUAGACAUGUGAAGAUCUGAGUCUAAUCAAAGAUAAUUCAGAGAUCGUCAGGGUAACAUGCAAGGACUGGAAAGGGGUCUCCAGUCACCUCUCAUGAGGAGACGCGUCCCACUGCCUCAUUGAGGUGGCCUCAGGGUGAAGAAUCAGGACCCACCUGGUGCAACGAAUAAACCCAGACUCUCAGCAUCGCGAGGAGAAAAAGUCUUGCAACACCGUGGCGACCAAGUAACUCUGUGCACAUACUAAGCUGACGGCGAUGCUGCUGUGUGAGGAUGCCCUUUGAGAAUCCCUGCUACAAAGCCCCUGCCAGUGGAGUGGCAUUGCUGUGUGGUGGCCUUGCACUGCGGAUUGCCCACCGGAGGGAUGCUGUGUGAGCACUGGCUGUGUCACCCUGCCACUGUGUCUCUGCUUCCCUGGAAACAUGCGUUUCUCCACUUUCAGGCAGAAGCACCAACUGCUCCUGUGAAUUAAUAUGCUCAUUUAAUGCUCAUUACAUUUAAAUUUUGUCAUUGAAAGGGCUCAUUUUCCCAUACUGGACCGUGGCCCUCUCCCUGCUCACUUCUUUAGAAUAAAGAAGAGCAUGAGGCUGGUGAA